rnacentral:rRNA from 1 species
GACAGAGGGUGCAAACGUUGCUCGGAAUUACUGGGCGUAAAGCGCGUGUAGGCGGACCGAUAAGUCGGGCGUGAAAUCCCUGGGCUCAACCCAGGAACUGCACCUGAAACUGUCGGUCUUGAGUAGUGGAGAGGAAAGCAGAAUUCCUGGUGUAGAGGUGAAAUUCGUAGAUAUCAGGAGGAACACCGGUGGCGAAGGCGGCCUUCUGGACACUUACUGACGCUGAGACGCGAAAGCGUGGGGAGCAAACAGG